GCGGGUGAAGUGUUGCGGUGACACACCGGUGCGCCACACCGGGAUCGUCGGGUUCAACUCCCACCACCCGCU
rnacentral:tRNA from 1 species